CUCAUCUCUGAACAUCAGGUUAAAAAAACGGCAGAUGUUAGGCAACACGGGAGGACUGAUUCAAGGCAGAAAGAACUGUGAAGAGCUUCAGAAGAGCAAUGCUGGAUCAGAGCAGAUGUUCAUCUGAUCCACUGCCACGGCCAGCCCAAAGCGUCUCCCAAUCCCACCGACAUGCAGCUCUUCCUGUUAAAUCUUAUAUUUGGAAUCUGAAAGUCUUUUCGUUUCUCCGUUGAGCAAGACUGGUGCUCAUCUGAUGUCCAUCCGAGUGUGGGAAGAGUGGCAUCACGGGAGGACCUACAUUCUACCAGGAUACUAUUACAAUAAGAGAUGUUGAAGAAAAAACAACAGAAAAUGAGCACCCUUGUUUACAUGAAAAUGUCAUCAUGAUCUAUCAUCCUGACUGAAUAGACACCAAUAGUAUCCUCUUCCUGGGAAGUGAUCCAGAAAGUCCGAAACAGCAGCAGCCAUCCAAGAGGAAUGGUGGCCAAUAAGCCCUCCAGGUCAAAACAUGGUGCUGAACCUGGAGGGAAGAUGAAUAUUCAUAUCAACAUGUUAUUUGGGAUUUCUCCCAAAACAGCUAUUUUCACAUCAAAACCAGUCUCUUCCAUACUGCUGUGAAUGGAUGUUGCAUGUGUAAAAUGUUCAGUUUAGCUCAGAUGCAAACUUAAACAACUUGUGCCUGAUAUAAAUAGAUCAGAACU